CCGGUUUACCAAGCUUGUAGCCACUGACCCCUCACCUGCCGGCUGCCAUGGCUCCGGCGAGCCGCGAGGCGGCGGCGGCUGGGGUGACGUGCGUGGACUUCUGGUGCAACGAGUUCGGGAUGCGGGCGCGGAUCGCGCUGCGGGAGAAGAGGGUCCCCUUCGAGUUCGUUGAGGAGGACCUCCGUGUCCGGCAGCGGAGCGACCUCGUGCGCCGCAUGAACCCGGUCCACCGCUCCAUCCCCAUCCUCAUCCACGGCGGCCGUCCGGUCUGCGGGUCCAUGAACAUCGUCGAGUACGUGGACGAGGUCUGGAGCCAAAAAGAAGCGGGAGCCGCCACCCGCUUGCUCCCCGCCGACCCGCUCGAGAGGGCGCGCGCGAGAUUCUGGGCCGAAUUCGUCGAUCAGAAGGUGUACGACGCGCAGACGAGGUUCUUCACGAGCCGCGGCGAGGAGAAAAUGGCAGCAAUGGCGGAGCUCCUCGGCCACCUCCGACGGCUGGAGGCGGUGCUCGGAAACAAGGCGUUCUUCGGCGGCGACGAGUUCGGGUUUCUGGACGUCGCCUUCGUGCCCUUCUCGGCCAUGUUCUACGGGUACGAGCAGCACGGCGGGGUGGACAUGGAGGCGGAGUGCCCCGCGCUGUUACGGUGGGUUAGGAGGUGCGCGGAGAGGGAGAGCGUUCGAGACGUGCUCCCCUCGGGGCUCGACAUGUACGAGAUACACAGGGAGUUUUAUCAGAUUGAGUGAAAAGAUCCUGCCUCACAAAGAUCACUACCAAUCUGAGGCUCCAAGCUCAAGCACUCAAGAACCAUCGAUCGGCAGUCCGUAUGCGGUUUACCGGCACUCCUCAGAGUUGCUAUAUUCAAGCAAAGACACCGGUCCAAAGUCCAAAUUCCAAACAGAGUACAGGCGACAGGAAGACCCCAUGGUCUUUCAAAGCAUGCAAACUCCGAGAGCAAAUUUGAUCUGAGCUUGAGAUUUAACAUGAACUACCAAAUUCCCAGGACGUCAGAUGAGUCAAGCAAGAUAUUGCAUCAACGAGCAGUUGAGUACAUUGGGCCUGAAAAAUCUCCAUCCAUGAAAAACAUCCCUCGUCGCAACCUUUCCUCAAGGACAAGGUCGGUGUAAAAGAAAAUCAAGGUCUUGUCACGCAAAGUUCAGGUCAAUGUUAGCACUGCAAGAAACUGUUUUCAGGAUAUCAGUGAGGAGUAGUGUUUAGUCAGGUUCUUCAUGUUAGCAAUAGGACUCUCUCAGUUGCUCAUGAGGGUUACUAUGCUGAUCUGAGUGGUGUGCGGUGCCGUCCAAUGCAAGAUUGAUCUAAAGUUUCUCGACUUCCUCAAUGAAAGUGAGGCCUUGUUUACUUCCCAAGUUGGGAGUUGCAAAAUUGGCAUUUUGCCAUAAAUGCGACACUGUAGCGUUUCGUUUGUAUUUGUGAAUUAUUGUCCAAAUAUUGACUAAUUAGGCUCAAAA